CGUUGUCAUUUUGACCUAUUUGUGUAUAUGUGUACUUACCUAACUCAUAAUCUGUGGUUUCUCUUUAGAACACAGUCGAUACUCACGUCUCUCUCUCUACAUUCACUUUGUAUUCCACUAUACACCUCUUUUUCUCUCUACCAUCACCCUUUCCUCAUACUACACAAGAUACCUCCCUCUCUUCAAUCAUUUUUCCCCCAAUCUCAACAGAUUGUCUAGGGUAAACUUCAGGGGAUGAAGUUUGGGAGAAGACUUUUCGACCAAUUCUCACAGGCUUUCGUCGUUUUCCUAUAGGAUUCGCCAUGAAAAGAGGCAGGUCGAAGGCUGAAACGAAAAAAACUGAUAGCAAGUUGUCGGUGAAGAAAAGAGGAGCACUGAGCGAAUAAGCCGGCAAAAAGCCAGCCAAUAAGGGUAGGCCGCAAAAGAUCCCAACAAGCCCAAGAGGCCUACGAGUGCCUUCUUCGUUUUCAUGUAUAUAUCAUUUCUGUAUAUAUUUUCUGAGAUCUAUGUUUUAAUAUUACAUCAAAAUUGUUUCAUUCAAUCUAUUCGUAGUUUAUAAUCGAUUAUUUGGCAUUUUAAAAAAUGUUUUCUUUCAGUUUUGGUGAAUUUAGGAAGAGGAGAAGCACCUUAACAACAAAUUUGUCUCAGUUGUAUGUAUUUGUCAUCUCUUCAGAUCUACAAAUUUAAUUUAAUUCAAUUUUGUUGAGUUUAAUGUUUUGAAUCAGUUUUUUUUUUUUUUUCUUCCCUUUUUCUUUUUGUAAUUGUUGUUAUGAUUAUGCAUUAUUUUCUGUGAUUAGGUUGGUAAAGUUGGUGGAGAUAAAUGGAAAUUCAUGUCGGAAGCUGAGUAAAUUAUCUGAAAAAAUAGUUCUAAUUUCUGGUUCAGAUUUAUUGGUUAGAGCUGAAGAUAACAUUUUUAUCUUCUUUUUUUUCCCUUUAAUUUAUUCCACUUUGAUUCAUGGGUGCAUACAUGAUCUAGUUGCCUUAUCUAUUUUGAUAUGGGCUUCAUUUCUCUCUUUAUUGUAUCAAAUGAGUUCACCCUAGGUCCCUAACAACUUGGUUGGGGCCUUUAAUCUUGGGUUGGAAUUCAAAAUUUAAAGAUUAAUGUAAUUAGCUGGUAGAAAAAUAGUGUAUUGAAGAUAUUGACCAAUAAGAGAAAAAUUAUAUAGUAUUAAUUUUUAAGCUUACACAGAGCUAGAGUACUAUGUUUAAGCCUCUUACACAUAGCUAGAGUACUAUGUUUAAGCCUUACCCUAUAGGUCAACACAAAUUAAUGCUUGUUUCCAAUUUUAUAUUAAAAUACAAUGAAUGAAAAGCAAACACCAUCCAUAACUAUUUUUCGACCUCUAUUUAUGCACAAUAAUAUAUAAAAAAAAAAUGGUCACUUAAGGCACGUAACCCCCUAUACACCGCAAAAUUGGUCACUUAAAGGCACGAAUGCAAGAUGUAAUUAUAAGUACUCCAUGUUGAAAGGACAUUAGAAGUAUUCCAGCUUAAAAACUCAUGAAUGUAAGAUGUAAUUAUAAGAAAAAUAAUAAAGAAGAAUAUAAAAUAGUAUAGAAUGAAGUCAUAUAUGAAUCCCUCACCAGUUCCUGACGAAGCCUGUUACUUUGUUGAAUUGCAGUAGCCUUCUCCUCCAUCAAGAAUUGAAAUCAGAGAUCUUCCCUGAAA